AAAGCAGGAGCAAUCUUGUGAGUACAGUGGCGUACGGGUGAGUAACACGGGGAUCAUCUACCUUCUAGUGGGGAAUACCCCUGGGAAACUGGGGACAAUACCGCAUAAGCUCGUAAGAGGAAAGCAGCAAUGCGCUGGAAGAGGAGUCCGCGGCUGAUUAGCUAGUUGGCGGGGUAAUGGCCCACCAAGGCGAAGAUCGGUAGCCGGCCUGAGAGGGCACACGGCCACACUGGCACUGAAACACGGGCCAGACUCCUACGGGAGGCAGCAGUGGGGAAUCUUGCACAAUGGAGGAAACUCUGAUGCAGCGACGCCGCGUGAGCGAUGAAGCCCUUCGGGGUGUAAAGCUCUUUCGACGGGAACGAUAAUGACGGUACCCGAAGAAGAAGCUGCGGCUAACUACGUGCCAGCAGCCGCGGUAAUACGUAGGCAGCAAGCGUUGUUCGGAAUUACUGGGCGUAAAGAGUGUGUAGGCGGUGUUCUAAGUUUGUCGUGAAAUCUCCCGGCUUAACUGGGAGGGUGCGGCGAAAACUGGAAUGCUAGAGGAUGGGAGAGGUAAGCGGAAUUCCUGGUGUAGCGGUGAAAUGCGUAGAUAUCAGGAGGAACACCUGUGGUGUAGACAGCUUACUGGACCAUUUCUGACGCUGAGACACGAAAGCGUGGGUAGCAAACAGGAUUAGAUACCCUGGUAGUCCACGCCCUAAACGAUGCAUACUUGGUGUGAGCGAUUCAUUUCGUUCGUGCCGGAGCUAACGCGUUAAGUAUGCCGCCUGGGGAGUACGGUCGCAAGGCUGAAACUC
rnacentral:rRNA from 1 species